GAUGAACGCUAGCUACAGGCUUAACACAUGCAAGUCGAGGGACCGGCGCACGGGAGAGUAACACGUAUCCCACCUGCCCUUUACUCGGGGCUAGCCUGUAGAAGGAAAGAUUAAUACCCGACAUAAAGAAUGGGACUGCGUUCCAUUAGGUUGUUGGUUAGGUAACGGCCCACCAAGCCUUCGAUGGAUAGGGGUACUGAGAGGAAGGUCCCCCACCAUGGAACUGGGACACGGUCCAAACGCCUGCGAGAGGUAGCAGUGAGGAAUAAUGGUCAAUGGGCGCUAGCCUGAACCAGCCAAGUAGCGUGAAGGAUGAAGGCUUAUGGUGCGUAAACUUCUUUUAUAUAAGAAUAUGUAUUAUAUGAAUAAGGAUCGGCUAACUCCGUGCCGGCAGCCGCGUAAUUC
rnacentral:rRNA from 1 species